rnacentral:ncRNA from 2 species
UUCUUAUCAAGAGAGGUGGAGGGACUGGCCCAUUGAAGCCUCGGCAACAGACUUUAAAGUACUGUGCCAAUUCCAGCAAGCGUAAGCUUGAAAGAUAAGAA